AAAUUUUAUAUUUUAUAUUUUAUAUUCAAAUUUGAAAUUAUGAUUUAAUUUAAUGAAUUUAUAUGAUUGAUAUUUGAAUUCAAAUAAUUAUUAGUAGAAAAAUAUAUUUUUUCUCAAUCACUCCGGAAUCACAGUCGACUCCCAUCAUGGAGGUGGGAGUCACUUUUGAGGGAUUCAAAUCCCUUCGGAACCGGCAUCGGAUUGCCAAUCUUUUAAUCCAAACACUAACCAUCAGAAUAACUUAAUUAUUUCGACUCUUAUUCCAAGUUAAAAGUUAAAAAUACUUCAAACCAAAUAUGCCCUAAGGCCCCGUUUGGAUACCCCUAAAAACGUAGUAUAGUUAAACUAUACUAUGCUGGAAGGAAAAUAAUCCUAUGAAGCGUUUGUGUCACGCCCCGGAUUACUCGUUCCCCGGGAGCGCCGACAAAUCCGACGUAUACAAAGGAAUUUCCCCUGUAUACGAAGCGAUAGCUGUACCUAUAGAUCAUACAAAACUACAAACAGUAGUAUAGAGCUGCUAGAAGAACCAGUAAUAAAAACAAACCGAGUUCCAUAUACAUACGCCAAAACCAAGAUAUAAAACU
rnacentral:lncRNA from 1 species